AGAAUUAAAGCAAGUUAUUUAUAUAGAAAGCAAAACACUCCAUAGGUCAUUCAUAACAAUUAGAUCAAAGUCAUUUGUACAUACAGAGACUGAAGGUUGAGUAGUGCAUUAGAGAGUAGUCAUACAGUACAGAAUACAUAUCCCAUUGCUCAGGACAAAAGUGUAGAAAAGCAUGAUCACACUGAUUAUGUUCUAUGAGUACAUCUUUCGACGGUAAAUGGCUCUACGAACUCCAAGAUGAUCCAACAUGAUAUAAAGAAUGAUCCUGGCCGAGAUUAUCACAAUAGUAUGGCCAACCUGAGCCGUCGGAAAUGGUUAAGAGACAACAUAAGUAAGUGGUUGAAAUAUAUAAGCAAUAAAAGAAAGUACAUGCGUAGGACAACAGACCAAUUCCAAUUGGAUUUCUUGCACAAACAAAGAUACAUGAUACAAAGCCUACAAAGCAAGUUGAUAACUUUCAGCAAACCUUGAUAGGUGGACGGGCCCAAUAAGAACUAAAAACUUUUACAUCAUAUUCUGCUAGGUGUCUUUAAUUCUUUUCAACAUGAGAAUGCAACAAACUCAUUUCUGUGUGAAACCUCAGACGUUAAUGGCUACCUCAUAGAGUCAAUCCAGAGAUAUGGCAUGUAUCACCAUCGAGCAAGCAUACAGAAUUCAUCUAUAAAAUUUACUCCUAUAAACUAAAUCAAGCUAGCAUGCACAGUUCUUAUCCAAACAUGAUUACAUCUCUUGGGGUCUGGUUACCCAAAUCCAACCAGAGAUUCUCACGGGAGGGGGGCAUAGAAGAGCAAAAGGAGCUUACUUGCAAGAAGAAGCGAGAGUCCAGCAAAAGGAGCUUACUUGCAAGAAGCUAGAAUCCAGGGUCGCGCAAGUGCUAGACAUGUCGUCACAAGCAACAUUACAGCUCUUGAUCCAGACCCCCUCCUUCGCUGUAUGAUGCCACUUGAAAAUAGAGCAUUUUACUGGGAGGGAAAAAGCAUGGCUCAUUAGGCAUUGUGUAGGCUCCACCCUUUACACAAAGGUGUAGAAAAGGCACACUAAUUGUAAGAUAACAUGUCCAUGUAUAUUCAAUUAUCAAGGCCAAAUACACUAAUUGUAGAAAAGCACACUAAUUGAAAGAUAACAUGUUCCUAUGUAGUUAAACCCUAAUGGACCACGAUCGGCCAAACAUGCCUCAAUGGCAGCUCCCCCCUCAUCAGCAUGGUUACCAAAACAUAGAUGAUUGUUCGCACAUCUUAUUUCCACUUUUCACGUGUUUCAUGCCUAGCUGAAGUUCCUGGUAAAUAUUUUCCAAAAACCAUCUUGCUAUCAGAGAAAACUCCAAAGCCUGGGAAGUAUAACCAGAACACAAGAACAUGAAUAAAGUUGAAAACUUUAUAUACAUAUAUGGUGUUCAAUUAAGCAAAACAUGAUCAGUCAUACAAGGAGAUAAAGGAAGAAAAUAACAAUACAAAAGUACGUCAUUAUUUAAACUGAUUAUGUUCAAAGUCCCCAUCUGAUUUAUACUAAGGAGUUGAAUAUUUGAUACAACUAAUAAAGCAAACCACCAUAAAGGUUUCUUCUAAUUGCCAAAUUUUACAGUUAGAAAAACCACACUAUUAAUAUGUAACAGACGUGGAACAACUAAGCAUGUCAACCACUAUAUUUACAUCAUCCGACGAACUGGAUGUGGCACCAAUUGCUUUUGUUGCGUCAACAACUUUGAUAUUCUGUGUUAAGCGGCAUAUAUGUAUUGUAGUUAGUUGCAACCGGUCAAUAAUUAGCAAGUACAACCUCAAAAAUUCAAUUGUCAGGCAAGAUUACCAUUUCAAAACUAUUGAGAGAUUACCCAAAACCCAAAAGUGUUGUUCUGCAUAGAACACUAAUUAGAUCAUGGGAAUUUGGAGCAAGAUCUUAACACCAAUAGUAGACACGUAAUUUUCAGAAGUGGUGACACUACCUUGUGAAACACUGUCGGGGAAACUGAUCCUCGAACACCUAUGGGGCCGGCGGACCGGGCCCCUUUCGGUUCGGCGGGGGGCGGAGAUCGCACGAAGAGCAGAUCGAGGCGAGGCACACGAGCAGUUUACCCAGCUUCGGAGCUCUCCGGAGAGAUAACACUCCUACUGCUGCUUGUCUGGUUGUAUUAUCUGGUGUUCUUGCUCUCCAAAGCGAAAGUGUGAUGUUCUCUGGGCUACGGAUGGAUCGAAGCAAACUGUCUGAGGCUUCGAACCCAUGAGCCGAACCCCCCCCCC
rnacentral:lncRNA from 1 species